AAGGAGCAUCUAGCUGCCGCAAGGCAGCCAGAGCCACUACGCAGACAAACGUUCUGCGGUGGUCAGCUCAUGGGUGGAACGUUGAUUAUUCGGCCGGUUCAUCGGGUCGGAGGCUGUGAGUACUGCUCGUAAGAGUGUGGAAAACAUGAUCUCCGGACGGGGAACGGCCGGGCACGCUGUUGGGUGUCUGAGGGAAUGAACUUCCUUCAGUGCCGGCCCCGGUGUACUCACUGGAUCUCCAGUGGGGUGACGGGUGGUUGGUCGUUGUUUGAGAACUGCACAGUGGACGCGAGCAUCUGUGG
rnacentral:misc_RNA from 1 species